CAGUCGAGGGGUAUAGUAGCAAUACUAGAGACCGGCGCACGGGUGCGUAACGCGUAUGCAAUCUACCUUAUACAGAGGGAUAGCCCAGAGAAAUUUGGAUUAAUACCUCAUAGCAUAGCAACUUCGCAUGAAGUCACUAUUAAAGUUCCAACGGUAUAAGAUGAGCAUGCGUCCUAUUAGCUAGAUGGUAAGGUAACGGCUUACCAUGGCUACGAUAGGUAGGGGUCCUGAGAGGGAGAUCCCCCACACUGGUACUGAGACACGGACCAGACUCCUACGGGAGGCAGCAGUGAGGAAUAUUGGACAAUGGGCGCAAGCCUGAUCCAGCCAUGCCGCGUGCAGGAAGACGCAUCUAUGGUGUGUAAACUGCUUUUGUACGGGAAGAAACACUCCCUCGUGAGGGAGCUUGACGGUACCGUAAGAAUAAGGAUCGGCUAACUCCGUGCCAGCAGCCGCGGUAAUACGGAGGAUCCAAGCGUUAUCCGGAAUCAUUGGGUUUAAAGGGUCCGUAGGCGGUUUGGUAAGUCAGUGGUGAAAGCCCAUCGCUUAACGAUGGAACGGCCAUUGAUACUGCCAGACUUGAAUUACUGGGAAGUAACUAGAAUAUGUAGUGUAGCGGUGAAAUGCUUAG
rnacentral:rRNA from 1 species